rnacentral:rRNA from 1 species
GGGUGCGUAACGCGUAUGCAACCUACCUUCAACAGGGGGAUAAUCCGAAGAAAUUUGGUCUAAUACCCCAUAAUAUUCCGACAGGCAUCUGUUGGAGUUGAAAGCUUCGGUGGUUGGAGAUGGGCAUGCGUUGUAUUAGCUAGAUGGUGAGGUAACGGCUCACCAUGGCGAUGAUACAUAGGGGGACUGAGAGGUUUUCCCCCCACACUGGUACUGAGACACGGACCAGACUCCUACGGGAGGCAGCAGUGAGGAAUAUUGGUCAAUGGACGGAAGUCUGAACCAGCCAUGCCGCGUGCAGGAUGAAUGUGCUAUGCAUUGUAAACUGCUUUUGUACGAGGGUAAACACAGAUACGCGUAUCUGCUUGAAAGUAUCGUACGAAUAAGGAUCGGCUAACUCCGUGCCAGCAGCCGCGGUAAUACGGAGGAUCCGAGCGUUAUCCGGAUUUAUUGGGUUUAAAGGGUGCGUAGGCUGUUUUUUAAGUUAGAGGUGAAAGCUCGACGCUCAACGUCGAAAUUGCCUCUGAUACUGAGAGACUAGAGUGUAGUUGCGGAAGGCGGAAUGUGUGGUGUAGCGGUGAAAUGCUUAGAUAUCACACAGAACACCGAUUGCGAAGGCAGCUUUCCAAGCUAUUACUGACGCUGAGGCACGAAAGCGUGGGGAGCGAACAGGAUUAGAUACCCUGGUAGUCCACGCAGUAAACGAUGAUAACUCGUUGCCGGCGAUACACAGUCGGUGACUUAGCGAAAGCGUUAAGUUAUCCACCUGGGGAGUACGUUCGCAAGAAUGAAACUCAAAGGAAUUGACGGGGGCCCGCACAAGCGGAGGAACAUGUGGUUUAAUUCGAUGAUACGCGAGGAACCUUACCCGGGCUUGAAAGUUAGCGACGGAUCGAGAAAUCGGUCUUCCCUUCGGGGCGCGAAACUAGGUGCUGCAUGGUUGUCGUCAGCUCGUGCCGUGAGGUGUCGGGUUAAGUCCCAUAACGAGCGCAACCCCUACCGUUAGUUGCCAUCAGGUCAAGCUGGGCACUCUAGCGGGACUGCCGGUGUAAGCCGAGAGGAAGGUGGGGAUGACGUCAAAUCAGCACGGCCCUUACGUCCGGGGCGACACACGUGUUACAAUGGCCGGUACAGAGGGUAGCUACCUGGUGACAGGAUGCCAAUCUCGAAAGCCGGUCUCAGUUCGGAUUGGAGGCUGAAACUCGCCUCC